rnacentral:rRNA from 1 species
UACAGAGGUCUCAAGCGUUGUUCGGAUUCAUUGGGCGUAAAGAGCUCGUAGGCGGUUUGUCGCGUCGAAUGUGAAAACCCGGGGCUCAACCCCGGGCCUGCAUUCGAUACGGGCAGACUAGAGUUCGGUAGGGGAGUCUGGAAUUCCUGGUGUAGCGGUGAAAUGCGCAGAUAUCAGGAGGAACACCGGUGGCGAAGGCGGGACUCUGGGCCGAUACUGACGCUGAGGAGCGAAAGCGUGGGGAGCGAACAGG